ACUCCUACGGGAGGCAGCAGUGGGGAAUAUUGCACAAUGGGCGCAAGCCUGAUGCAGCCAUGCCGCGUGUGUGAAGAAGGCCUUCGGGUUGUAAAGCACUUUCAGUUGUGAGGAAGGUGGUGUCGUUAAUAGCGGCAUCAUUUGACGUUAGCAACAGAAGAAGCACCGGCUAACUCCGUGCCAGCAGCCGCGGUAAUACGGAGGGUGCGAGCGUUAAUCGGAAUUACUGGGCGUAAAGCGCAUGCAGGUGGUUUGUUAAGUCAGAUGUGAAAGCCCGGGGCUCAACCUCGGAACUGCAUUUGAAACUGGCAGACUAGAGUACUGUAGAGGGGGGUAGAAUUUCAGGUGUAGCGGUGAAAUGCGUAGAGAUCUGAAGGAUACCGGUGGCAAGGCGGCCCCCUGGACAGAUACUGACACUCAGAUGCGAAAGCUGGGGAGCAAACAGGAUUAGAUACCCUGGUAGCACAGAG
rnacentral:rRNA from 1 species